UGAGUAACGGCGAGCGAAAGGGAAGAGUCCAGCACCGAAUCCCCUCGUCUUUGGCGAGCGGGAAAUGUGGUGUUUGGGAGUGAGCGUCUCGACGGCAGACUCUGCAGCAAGUCCCCCUGACCGGGGCUCUUUCCCAGAGUGGGUGCGAGGCCCAUAGCUGCUAGGUCUCCGUCGAAUGCGAUCUCCUCGGAGUCGGGUUGCUUGGGAGUGCAGCCCUAAGCGGGUGGUAAACUCCACCUAAGACUAAAUACUGCCGUGAGACCGAUAGCAAACAAGUACCGUGAGGGAAAGUUGCAAAGAACUUUGAAGAGAGAGUUCAAGAGUACGUGAAACUGCUCAAAGGGAAACGGGUGGGCCCUCGAAAUCCUGUGACUGAAGGAUUCAGUGCUCUGACUUGUUCGAUGUAGGGUGGCGUUAUCAGAAUGGUAUCCGGGAUCGGACCUCUGCCUUGCAUUAGGAUGAGUCGGAGUACGCAUUUCUUUUCAGUCCGAAGGACGCCGCAACCGGUUGGCGGGACGGCUAUGAGGGUCGUCGACGGCAGGUGGCCGGAUCUUAGCCUCGUGUUGAUUUCCGGUUGUUAGCCAGACGAUUCGAGCCGUACCCCGACCGUGGUGUCGCGAGGCCCGUCAUGGGCCUCUCCGUCUCCUCCUAGUGUGGCGAGUAGGCGUGGCAGGUGAGGCUUCGUUUUCUCGGUGCGCACCGGUUCACCGGUGGCAUCGGGAGCGUGAGUCCCCGUUGGCUGUGUAGUCUCGUAUGGAGGCCG
rnacentral:rRNA from 1 species